UACAGAGGUGGCAAGCGUUGUUCGGAUUUAUUGGGCGUAAAGGGUCCGUAGGCGGUUCGGCAAGUCAGAUGUGAAAUCCUACAGCUCAACUGUAGAGCUGCAUUUGAAACUUCCGGACUAGAGUAUGAGAGGGGUUAAGGGAAUUCCCGGUGUAAGGGUGAAAUCUGCAGAGAUCGGGAGGAACACCAGUCGCGAAGGCGCUUAACUGGCUCAUUACUGACGCUCAGGGACGAAAGCUAGGGGAGCAAACGGG
rnacentral:rRNA from 1 species